ensembl:snoRNA
AAGCCAGCCAAUUGGUCUGCUUAUCUCAAUGUGUUUCUGCAGAAAUGUAGAGAGGUAGCAAUACUCACACCAUGUUAUGAGCCUUAAGGACAACUGAGGUCUUUAAGAUCCCUGAAAAUGGCUACAAUA